GAAAGAAACCAACAGGGAUUCCCUUAGUAGCGGCGAGUGAACAGGGAAAAGCUCAAAUUUGAAAUCUGCCAACAGGCCGAGUUGUAAUUUGUAGAUGGCUACACUGCGAAUAGUAUCUUGCUCAAGUUUCUUUGGAAAAAGACAUCAUGGAGGGUGACAAUCCCGUGAGGCAUGUAUAUUAGGAGCGAUUAGUGAGCUUUCUAAGAGUCGAGUUGUUUGGGAAUGCAGCUCAAAGUGCGUGGUGAAUACCAUGUAAAGCUAAAUAUAGACGAGAGACCGAUAGCGAACAAGUACUGUGAAGGAAAGAUGAAAAGCACUCCGAAAGGAGAGUGAAAUAGUACGUGAAAUUGUUAGAGUGGAAGGGCUUGAGAUCAGAAUUGGCGGUGUGGGUUCCACGUCCUCUCGGGGGCGUGUACUCCCUAUCAGCCGGGCCAGGGUGAGUUUUGCCUCUCGGAUAAAGAGUAUUGGAAUGUAGCAGCUUGUCUGUAUUAUAGACUUUACUGUAUACGGGACGGCGGGACUGAGGAAUAAAAAGGAUUUUUUCUUUUCUGUGAUUC
rnacentral:rRNA from 1 species